GACGAACGCUGGCGGCGUGCUUAACACAUGCAAGUCGAACGGAAAGGCCCUGCUUGCAGGGUACUCGAGUGGCGAACGGGUGAGUAACACGUGGGUGAUCUGCCCUGCACUUCGGGAUAAGCCUGGGAAACUGGGUCUAAUACCGGAUAGGAGCCAUUUUUAGUGUGAUGGUUGGAAAGUUUUUUCGGUGUAGGAUGAGCUCGCGGCCUAUCAGCUUGUUGGUGGGGUAAUGGCCUACCAAGGCGGCGACGGGUAGCCGGCCUGAGAGGGUGGACGGCCACAUUGGGACUGAGAUACGGCCCAGACUCCUACGGGAGGCAGCAGUGGGGAAGAUUGCACAAUGGGCGCAAGCCUGAUGCAGCGACGCCGCGUGGGGGAUGACGGCCUUCGGGUUGUAAACUCCUAUCGCUAGGGACGAAGCUUUUUGUGACGGUACCUAGAUAAGAAGCACCGGCUAACUACGUG
rnacentral:rRNA from 1 species